rnacentral:rRNA from 1 species
GACGAACGCUGGCGGCGUGCCUAACACAUGCAAGUCGAACGGAGUGUUUAUUUAUAAACACUUAGUGGCGAACGGGUGAGAACGCGUAGGCAACCUACCCUCUAGAUGGGGACAACACCGCGAAAGUGGUGCUAAUACCGAAUGUUGUAAUGUUGUUGCAUAAUGAUAUUACUAAAGGUGGCCUCUAUAUAAAAGCUACCGCUAGAAGAUGGGUCUGCGUCUGAUUAGCUAGUUGGUGAGAUAACAGCUCACCAAGGCAAUGAUCAGUAGCCGGUCUGAGAGGAUGAACGGCCACACUGGGACUGAGACACGGCCCAGACUCCUACGGGAGGUAGCAGUGGGGAAUCUUCCGCAAUGGACGAAAGUCUGACGGAGCAACGCCGCGUGAGUGAAGAAGGUUUUCGGAUCGUAAAGCUCUGUCUUCAAGGACGAAUGUAGAUAUUGUGAAUAAUGAUAUUUAAUGACGGUACUUGAGGAGGAAGCCACGGCUAACUACGUGCCAGCCGCCGCCGUAA